rnacentral:misc_RNA from 1 species
GUAGGUGAACCUGCGGAAGGAUCAUUAUUGAAAUAAACCUGCUGGGUUGUUGCUGGCUCUCUAGGGAGCAUGUGCACGCCUUGUCAUCUUUAUAUCUCCACCUGUGCACUUUUUGUAGACAUCUUUCCAGGUGUCUAUGUUGACCCUUCAUUUGCCCCCCAAUGUAUGUCAAUAGAAUGUUGUGUCCAUGAUAAUAAAAUCUAUACAACUUUCAGCAACGGAUCUCUUGGCUCUC